GCAGGUGCGGAGUUUGACUGGGGCGGUACACCUGUCAAAUGGUAACACAGGUGUCCUAAGGCGAGCUUAGGGAGGAUAGAAACUUCCCGUGGAGCAGAAGGGAAAAAUCUCACUUGAGACCGUGAAAGCGGGGCCUCACGAUCCUUCUGAAUUUUGGGCUUUUAAGCAGGUGGUGUCAGAAAAGUUACCACAGUGAUAACUGGCUGCCAAGCAUUCAUAGCGACGUCGCUUUUUUAUCCUUUGAUGUCGGCUCUUCCUAUCAUUGUGAAGCAGAAUUCACCAAGCUUUGAAUUGUUCACACACUAAUAGAGAACGUGAGCUGGGUUUAGAUCGUUGUGAGAAAGGUUAGUUUUACCCUACUCAUGAUGUGUUGUUGCAAUAGUAAUCCUGCUCAGUGCGAGAGGAACCGCAGGUUCAGACAUUUGGUGUAUGUGCUUGGCUGAGGAGCCAAUGGUGCAAAGCUACCAUCUGUGGGAUUAUGACUGAGCACCUCUAAGUCUGAAUCCCCCCUAAACGUAACGAUACCGUAGUGCUGCGGCUCGUCGGUUGGCCCGGGAUAGCCGGCUCUGAGCCGUUCUUGACGGGGUUGGUGUGUAGACGGAUGAGUUACUGCCCCUCUCCUGAUGCGCACUGCAUGUUUGUGGGGAACCUGGUGCUAAAUCACUCGUGGACGACCUGAUUCUGCGUCAGGGUUUCAUAUGUAGCAGAGCAGCUCACUCGCUGUGAUCUAUUGAAAAUCAGCCCUCGAUCCAAGAUUU
rnacentral:ncRNA from 1 species